GAUGAACGCUGGCGGCGUGCCUAAUACAUGCAAGUCGAGCGAACAGAUAAGGAGCUUGCUCCUUUGAAGUUAGCGGCGGACGGGUGAGUAACACGUGGGUAACCUACCUAUAAGACUGGGAUAACUUCGGGAAACCGGAGCUAAUACCGGAUAACAUUUAGAACCGCAUGGUUCUAUAGUGAAAGAUGGUUUUGCUAUCACUUAUAGAUGGACCCGCGCCGUAUUAGCUAGUUGGUAAGGUAACGGCUUACCAAGGCGACGAUACGUAGCCGACCUGAGAGGGUGAUCGGCCACACUGGAACUGAGACACGGUCCAGACUCCUACGGGAGGCAGCAGUAGGGAAUCUUCCGCAAUGGGCGAAAGCCUGACGGAGCAACGCCGCGUGAGUGAUGAAGGGUUUCGGCUCGUAAAACUCUGUUAUUAGGGAAGAACAAAUGUGUAAGUAACUGUGCACAUCUUGACGGUACCUAAUCAGAAAGCCACGGCUAACUACGUG
rnacentral:rRNA from 1 species